GCCUUUUUCGUUUUGCAAAGUAACUUUAACACCUUUAAUUCCUUUUUCAGUCGAAUCUUGUUUACCAUCUUUAUUACUGUCGUACCAAACAU
rnacentral:sRNA from 1 species